AUGGAACUGAGGCUCUUGUUAAGUUUGCUAAUGACCUUCCCUGCAUGUGUUUCUCUGCAGACACUCAUUGAAUCUGGUGGUGGAGUGAAAAGCCCAGGAAGCACUCUGAGACUAACUUGUACAGUAUCUGGAUUUUCUCUUGCAAGCUACGAAGUGAACUUGGUUCGUCAGCCCCCGGGAAAAGGACUGGAGUGGGUUGGACUGAUCAGGGCUGCUGGAAGCACUGACUAUAACAGUGCUUUACGAAGCCGCAUGAGCAUCACAAAAGACAACUCAAAAAGCCAGGUGUUCCUCCAACUGAAUGCCCUGAAGCCUGAAGACACAGCCGUGUAUUACUGUGCAAGACUCACAGUGAGCAAAACCCUCUCAGAGGCAGCACAAAAACUCCCCUUCUUAAAAACCCGCCAUCAGUCACGCCUGUGA